CCCCCGGCGGCAAAUGCUAACUCUCUCUGUAGGUGAACCUGCGGAAGGAUCAUUAUCGAGUUCGGGUCCCCAGGGCCCAACUUCCAACCCUUUGUUUAUCUACCCUGUUGCUUUGGCGGGCCGUGGUCCACGCGACCCCGUCGGCCCCGGCUGGCGAGCGCCCGUCGGAGGCCAAUCAAACUCUUUUAACCAUGUCGUCUGAGAAAAAAUAAAUAAGCAAAAACUUUCAACAACGGAUCUCUUGGUUCU
rnacentral:misc_RNA from 1 species